UACGUAGGGGGCAAGCGUUGUCCGGAAUUAUUGGGCGUAAAGAGCGUGUAGGCGGCCAGAUAAGUCCGCUGUGAAAGUCCAGGGCUCAACCCUGGAAUGCCGGUGGAUACUGUCGGGCUCGAAUCCGGAAGAGGUGAGUGGAAUUCCACGUGUAGCGGUGAAAUGCGUAGAGAUGUGGAGGAACACCAGUGGCGAAGGCGACUCUCUGGUCUGUAACUGACGCUGAGGCGCGAAAGCGUGGGGAGCAAGCAGG
rnacentral:rRNA from 1 species